UACGGGGGGGGCAAGCGUUGUUCGGAAUUACUGGGCGUAAAGGGCGCGUAGGCGGCUCAUCAAGUCGGGCGUGAAAUCUCGGGCUUAACUCGGGGCUUGCUUUCAAUACGGGCAGACUGGAGGUAUGCAGGGGAGAACGGAAUUCCUGGUGUAGCGGUGAAAUGCGCAGAUAUCAGGAGGAACACCGGUGGCGAAGGCGGUUCUCUGGGCAUUACCUGACGCUGAGGAGCGAAAGUGUGGGGAGCGAACAGG
rnacentral:rRNA from 1 species